rnacentral:tRNA from 1 species
AAGAAAGUCAUAGAGGUUAUGGGGCUGGCUUGAAACUAGUCUAUGGGGGUUCAAUUCCUUCCUUUCUUG